ensembl:lncRNA
GAUGGAUCGCCCCCCUCCGUUCAAGCCUCCUCCUCCUCCUGUAAAGUAUACUUCUGCCAUAUACAAGGAUUCCUCAGCACAGCCGUUACAGUGCUAAAAUCUGUUAAAACCGUAACCAUUGUACAGUACUUGUGAGGACAUGAUGGUCCUGAGAUGCGGUGCCUCCUUUGUCCACUGUAAAUGAAAUGAACUUUUUCAGGUGUUUCAACCCAAUGUGUGUACAUUUGGAAAUAAAGGUUUGUUUUUUCUUUCUUCCAUCCGUGCAAAGUCGCAUGUGAGAGAAUGAAACCACCCACAUUUUCAAUAAACCUAUCCAUCUUUAAAGGAUGAUCUCUCUCUUUGAAGUCUCAACUGCCUAAUUUCCUUUUAAACUAUGGAGAGAAAUAAAAGUUUCAUUCAUAUCAACUAAAGCCGUCAUGUUUUUCUUCAGACGUCGUUUGGAACAUAAUAAAACAGCUUCACCAUGAAGAAAGAUGGCUGCAUAUGAACAAGCAACAGGGAAACAGGGCACAUCCUGAUUAUUUACCAGAGCAGUAACCCAAAUCUAUUUAUGGAUUUCAUGACAUGGGUUCGUUUACAAGCUCAGAACAAAAAGGAGAUACAAAAAAAAUGGACUUUUGAGCCAAAUUAAUUUCCUCUAAAUGUGUUAGGAGACGUGAUUAAAAGGGAAUCUGCCAGCAUGCCUUCUGCUGUACGGUAUUCUACCUCAUUAUGAGGCGUGCGUCAGAACGAGGUUACGGUUUCCUGUUUGUAACUGACGAGCAGUUUUCAAAGUGCUGCGUUCAAGCGAGGAAAACUGAGCCCAGCGCAAAACUGGAAACCAGUUCACCGCCGUGAUCCGCCGUACAUCAGCCACACGGGGCCAGUUUGCUCAGCAACAGCUGGAUUAUGAAAGAGUGUGAAACUCUGCUGAUUUGCCUGGCGCUGAUCUUGUUGGCCCUGUUUCUCUCCAUGAUCCUGAAUAUCAUUUUUUGCCUCCAGCAAAGACCCUGUUUUUUCCAAGACAAAUGCUGCCUCAACGACCGAGAAAACAUGUCACAGGAUAAGGGGCGUUAUUUCCAUAACCCCAAUCAUGAUGAGCAGCAGGAAAAUUCCCACAGCAGUGAGGAACAAGAAAAUCCAAUCUACGGCAACCUGAGCAGAGACAGGAGAGGUUCUGCAGAAAUUUGCUAUGAGAUGAUGUCACUACAGCACAACAGAAGCCAGGCCAGGGCUUCGGAGCCUGACUUGAACUACGCGUCACUGGAUCUGAGCAAGGCAAAGAAACCCAAGAAGAAGCGUCGCCCCAAACAGGCCCAGGGAUGCAACAACCACCUCACGCCCCUGAACUCGUUCUUAGAGGUGGACGUGGACGUGGAAGCCCAGCUUCCACCGGGAGACGCGAGCCCCCUGCUCUCACACAGUAGCAUCUACCUCAACGCUCAGCAGAUAGCAAAGGGGACGGAGGACAUGGGGAGAGGACAGAGCGUGAAGACGGAGGCGGAGGGCUCCAAAUGGACCAACAGAGAUCGUGACGGUGAGGAGAGGAAAAAUAGAUGGGAUGGUAGCAAUGGGGACAUCUGCACAGAGGCUGCAGAGGCAGAGCGUUGUCACGGGGACACAGAUGCUUUUAAUGGAGUCUAA